rnacentral:rRNA from 1 species
UACAGAGGUCUCGAGCGUUAGGCGGAAUCACUGGGCUUAAAGCGUGUGUAGGCGGAUCCGUAAGUACCUUGUGAAAUCCCACGGCUUAACCGUGGAACUGCUUGGUAUACUGCGGGUCUUGAGCCGCCUAGGGGCGAGCGGAACAGAUGGUGGAGCGGUGAAAUGCGUAGAUAUCAUCUGGAACGCCAACGGUGAAAACAGCUCGCUGGGGGUGUGCUGACGCUGAGACACGAAAGCCAGGGGAGCAAACGGG